UACGUAGGCAGCGAGCGUUGUUCGGAAUUACUGGGCGUAAAGAGUGUGUAGGCGGUGCUCUAAGUUCGGUGUGAAAUCUCCUGGCUUAACUGGGAGGGUGCGCCGAAUACUGAAUGACUAGAGUGCGGAAGAGGAUAGUGGAAUUCCUGGUGUAGCGGUGAAAUGCGUAGAUAUCAGGAGGAACACCGGUGGUGUAGACGGCUAUCUGGACCGUAACUGACGCUGAGGCACGAAAGCGUGGGUAGCAAACCGG
rnacentral:rRNA from 1 species